UACGUAGGGUGCGAGCGUUAAUCGGAAUUACUGGGCGUAAAGCGUGCGCAGGCGGUUUUGUAAGCCAGGUGUGAAAUCCCCGGGCUCAACCUGGGAAUGGCAUUUGGGACUGCAAGGCUGGAGUGCGGCAGAGGAGACUGGAAUUCCUGGUGUAGCAGUGAAAUGCGUAGAUAUCAGGAGGAAUACCGAUGGCGAAGGCAGGUCUCUGGGCUGACACUGACGCUCAUGCACGAAAGCAUGGGGAGCAAAAGGG
rnacentral:rRNA from 1 species